CUCCGCACACUGACCUUACACACUGGACAAUAUUUAAGGAUGAAGGUGCCAUCCUAUAAAGAGGUGAUUAUUAUUAUUCUAUUAUUAUUAUUAUUAUUAUUAUUACUGCUAAAUAGCAAUGCUGUAGAGAAAGUUUGUUAGUAGUUGUCAUCUUGUAAACGUUCCUAGUUUGGACAUGCUUUUGUUUUUAAUCUGAAAAAUGUUUAUUUACGUAACUUUUCAACCAGUGUCUGUCUUUAUUUUCUUCCUUUUUUUUUUUUUUUUUUUUUUUUGCCUUCCUCUCCCCCUUCGGCUCAGGGAGGGGGGGGGGUUGCCUAACUUGAGAAAUAAUAACUUUAAAAAUAAUAACUUUAAAAAGAAGACCUUUAAAAAGAAUAACUUUAAAAAGAAUAACUUUAAAAAAUAAUAACUUUAAAAAUAAUAACUUUAAAAAGAAUAACUUUAAAAAUAAUAACUUUUAAAAUAACACAAUUUGCUCUGUUGUGUUUUGUCGCUAUUUCUCGUGUUUCUACCAGAAUUUUUUCCAGCCUUCUCUCCUCUAUCCCCGGCUCGGCUUUGGCGCUGCUUGCGGGGUUUUCCCCCUCGGUUUGUCGCGGCAGCCGCGCCGGGAGGGCCGCGGGCAGCCGGGAGGGGUCGGCGGGGAGGGCGGCCGCUCUGCUCUCCUUUCAGGUGGAAGGCAGCGCUCCCCAGGGACGGGGGAAGCCGCCAGCCAGCCCAGGACAGGGGGGAGAGGAAGGACAGCCACCCCCGGAGCUCCGGGAGCCCCCCAGGACCUGCCGCCCCCCCAGCGGAGGGAGCGAGCGCCGGGGCUGAGGCGCUUUGAAGAGAGGAGCGAAGUGUAAAUAGCCGGUGAUUGAUGUGCUGGCUUUGACUGCGGAGAAAGCACUAUUUUAAUUCAAGUGGCCAGGUCAGAUGGUCACGGAAGAAGGUUGAAAGGGAACUCGGAGCCACGUGUCGCCUAAAAUGCCGAAGCGGUGCCUGUGAAUUCCUGCCCCGAGGACGCCGUUCCACGGCGCGCCGGGCACCCCGAGGUUGGAAAAACAAGCCCUUCCCAACCUCACCGGUGAAACAGGAGCUCGAGUGUUCCUAACUCAAUAUUCUGAAAUAUUUCUUCCAGCCAUCCCGGACUCUCGCUGUCCCCGCGUCCCCCACCGAACCGCUCCCGGGACGGGCGGAUUUCAGUUUGAAAACCUCGUCCCGGGUUAUUUCUCGCUGUUAUUGGAGCGGGUAGAGCCGGGAGAGCCGCGGCUGGCCAGGGGAGGAUGCCCCGGUGGCCGCGUCCCCGUCCCCGAGCCGGGGAACGAGGGUCACGGAGGGUUCGGAGCACCGGGUGGGCACCGCGGCCGUGCCCCCCGCAGCCCCAGCCCCGCACAGCCUCGGCUUUUGUUUUCUCGCCAAAAUCCCCCCAUCUCCAUCACCCUGAGUCCCCCAGGAAUCAGCUCCUGCGGGGAACAGCCCCGCUCCGGCGGAGCCGCUCGGGGAUAUUUGGGGAGAAACAAAACGCUUUCGGGGGUGCACGGUUGGGGUGGGUGUGGGGGGAGCACGGUUUGAGGUGAUGCUUCUGCAAACGAAAGCACCGAGAAGCGAUGGAAAGCCGCCGUGCCGGGGCUGCCCCGGUUGUCACCGGCUCUGCCCGUGCCGCUUCCCCGGCUCCGGCCGCGUUCCUGCCGGGCCGAGGCGGCGGGGCCGGGCUGCGGCGCUUUGCCGGCCCGGGAAAGGGGAAAAAGGGGGAAAAAGGGGGAAAAGGGGAAUAAACCCCCACUAAAAUAAAAAAUAGAUAAAAGGGUGAAAAAAGAUUGGGAAAAAAAAAGAGAGAGAACGAAUAUGGAAGGUGCCGGGGUGUGCUGGCUGUGGGCUGCGGGGCGUGUGGGGAAGGACACGCUGCCACCCCCGACACGAGUGGGAUCCCUUCCCGCAGCGGUUGCAGUUCUGGUCCCGGGAACCGGCCCCGUUUGCCCGGCUCGCUGUAAGCCCGAGCAGCUCGGGGCUGGUGGCGAGGGCACUCCGGGCACUGCGGGCACAGCCCGUCCGGGACACGCUCCUGCUCCCACCGGGGCUCAGCAAAGCCCCUCAGCGAGCUGUGCGCCGGGCAGACAGACCCUCGAACCCCCCGGAACCCCCGAACCCCCCCCGUGUCCCGGCGGGCGAGCAUCCCGCGGUGGGCACCGGCUUUUGCAGCCUGCACCUGUCUGAGUGCGUGUCGCUUCCACGGGGAACGGCAAAUGAAUGACCGUGGAGGGAGAGAGGGAGAAGCGGCAGGGUCAAGGCGGGUGGCUGCCAAGGAGCCGGAGCCCUGCCCGGCCUGGAGCCGCUCCGGGCUCCGCCACUGCCCCAGGAAUUCUGCCCACGGGCAGCCCGGGGCAGCGCGGGGAUGGCUGAAGGGGAAAACCGCUCCAUCGAUUUGCCAUCGAGAUUUAAUAAUCAUCUCCCGCAGGGAAAGAAGCAGCCAAGCCCCUCUGCAGCCCACGCGUGUCAGGGGAUGGGGACCCGCCGGGCCGAGGGGUGUCUGUGGGGUCUGGGGGCUCAGGGGAGCGGGGGGUCCCGAAAUGAGCCUGCUCGGGGUUGAUCCCCUCCGCCCUCGCCCCUCUUUGCUCCUCCAGCCCGGCCCUGCUAACAGAGAUUUCAGCCCCCGCGGCGUGGGGGGGUCCCCGCAGCCCUGGAGCGGCAGGAAUUCACGGGUGGGUUCCUCACGGGUGGGUUCCUCGGCAUCUCCGGCACAAGCCGCGUGUUCCCAGGUGUUCUGCGGGGAAACACGCUGCAGGUGAAGCGCUGCGUGGGAACUGCCCGGCUCCCAUCCCCGCGUGGCCCUCCCGGGAGCCGCGGGCUCGGGUGGGCACCCACGGGGGCACGGGAGAGGGGAAAGGCUCUUGGCGAGCUGUUUUGCACAAGUAUUUCCAAGCAGUAAAGAAGAUUAAAAUGGUUGAGCCCGUCCAGCUUGUCCGGGCGCUGCCGCACGCCCCGAGUCGCCCCUUCCCGAGGAUUUUCGCAUCAAUCGCUCCUUGUUUCUGCGCACGGGAUUAAACCGGGAAUUAAAUAUUUGAAACUACGCAAGAACCCGGUGGCACAGGACGGGGGUGGCAGAUCAGGCGCUGGGAAAUGUCACACGCUUUCCCUGGGGAUUUGCCCUGUUAAUCUGCCGCUAAUUAGCGGCGGGAGCAUCCACGGGGAUGCUGAGGAGCUGCUUCGCACCCACGCGUGGGGCAGCGCUCUCCGCAUCCUCCCAGCCCGGGGAUGCCGACACCUCCCCAGCCCCGCUCCCUGCGAGCAGCCGGCGCAAGGGGGCGGAUAAGGACAGCCGGGAGCCCCGAAGGACAACCGGGAGCCCCGGGCCACCCCCGGGCCACCCCCGUGCCGCGGGGACACCGGGGGAACCCCACCGAGCAUCCCUCGCCCCGGCCGGGCGGCGGGGACAGCUCGCCCUCCCAGCAGCGGCUGUGCUGGCGGCCGGGGAGAGGAGAAAAACAUAAAAAUAACAAAAAUUAAACACUGCAGAGGUGGCUGCGCCCCCUCUCCCCGCUGGAAGGAGGUGGCGGGUCCUCCCACCGAUGCUGGGGCCGCUCCGAGCGCACCCAGGUAGGAGAUGGAGCUCAGGGUGGGUGUCACAUCCUCCACCCGCCAGAGCCUUUCCUGAAGUGACCUAUUUACACUCUCAUUGGUUUAAAUGAAUUUUUUUUUUUUUUUUUUACCCGAAAACCUUUGAGAAAUGCCGGAACAAGCGCCAGGCAGAAGGGGAGAAAUGGAUGCAUUUUGUACAGGGAAGGGAAAAAAAAAAUAAAUUAAGUCACUCUUGCUGGUCCCCUUAGCGAUGAAAUACACAGGGAAAGAUUAAUACUGCAGCAUAACCUGUGCCUGCAUUCACUGUCCUGCACCUCUUCCCUGAUAUUCCAGCUGCACUGAAACCCUCAAAAUGAAGUGAUCAGAUUAUUUUUUUUUCUUAUUUCUAGAAGAAAACACUGGCUCCUCCGGCCAUGAAAAAACACCGUGUCAAUUGCUAUUUCAGAUUUUUCAAAAAACAUGUUCAGCUCUAAGAAUUCCUCCGAAUUCGUUACACUCCACCGCGCGAGGCUGCGCCUUGCUGGUCCCAGCGAAGGUAAAAAUUCACGUCCUAAAAUAAGAAGUCGUAAAAAAAAAAAAAAAAAAAAAAAAAAAAAAAAAAGGAAAAGAAAAAGAAAAGCACCAUUUACAUUUGAAUAUCUAACUUGAACAUGAUUAUAAUUACAAUCGUCAGACAUCGAGCAGUGUUGUCUCCCAUGAACAGACAGUUUUGGGGAUAGAAACACAAUUUUAAUCAUAACGGUCUCUGGGAAUGAAGGGAAAUUAGUGAGUUAUAGCAUUUUUUUUCGACGUUUGAUCAAAAUAUUUUUGCCCGGAGAUUGCUUGCCAGAUGAAAGCAAAAUGGAAAGGAGGUGCGCUGUAAUUCAGCUGAGUUUUGUCACGGAAAGAGCCCGAGCUCUGUCCGGGCUGUGGUCUGCCCUUCCCGGGGGGAUUUUGGGGACACUCUCCCCUGCAGCGAGCAGCCCUGGCAGGCGGGUACCGCUGGGGCAAUUUUCCACCGAGCAUUUUGCAGCCGAAAUACCGAAUUUUGAAGGCACCACAACGACCUGAGCCGCCUUUUCCCUCGGAAUCGCCCCAACUCGCCCCGAUUUGAGGCUCGCAGGGAGCUGCUCCGCUUUUGGGGUUCCCCUUUUGGGUUCCCCUUUUGGGGUUCCCCUUUUGGGGUUCAUUGCUGCAGCCCCCAGCCGGGCCCGCAGCCCCGCAGGGUUUGGGGUUUGCGUUAAUAAAACCUUGUGGGGGUGGCGAGGGCUGAACCCCAAAUCGCUGCUCUGCCCCAAUUCGGGGCUUCCUCCGCUCGUCCCGGAGGGUGACCCCAUCCCCUGGGGAGCCCCGAUGGAGCCCUCGGGGGUGUCCCCUCGCUGUCCCCUCGUUGUCCCCUCGCUGUCCCUGCCCCAGGCUCAGCCCCUAAAGAGCAGCGCAAGUCCCCAAGGGGACACCGAGGGACCCGCGCCUGAUUCACUUGCGCUCCCCCUCGCUUAGGACGGCUGUGGCGGGGCUGGCUGGAUAAUUAUUAGCUAUUAAUUGAGUUCAAGACCUUUUUCCGCCGCUGGGAAAUGAGGAGCCCGAGCAGCGAUUCCCAAGGAGGAGCUGCCCGCAGCCCAAAGCCGCGGCCGCUCCAUCCCCGGUGGGGUGGGGAGAGAAAGGGGCGACAAAAAUUCACGAGGUGAAAAUGAUAGAAAGUUCAGAGCGAGGGAUUGAUGUCCGAAACACCUCUGGGGGAUGAGCGGGAGCGGGGGAGGGCGGCGGUGCCCGGCGGGGCGGGCCGGGGGCUGGGCCGGGGUCCCCGGGCAAGGUGAGGAGCGGGGCCCGGAGCCCCCCCGGACCCCCAGCCAGCUCCUACCGAUGCCGCUUUCUUAUCUUUGCACGCUUCCACCUUCCAAUUAAAGUUCCCCAAAUUGCCAAAAGGCUGAUUUGCAUGCAAGGGACCCCGCUCAAAGAUGCUAACUUAUUGUCUCCUCCCAGAACUGAACAUUUCUCUCUUCAGUUCCCACUUGAAAGAAGUUUUAGAACAGUAUUCAAAGACUGUCCAAACGAACAAAACCUUCCCCUUCGCUCGGGAGAGAAAUCCGGUGUAUUCAAUACGAGGGCAUAUUCUCAGAAGUUUGCAGAUUUGGGUUUAAAGGCGGUAUUGUUCGUGCCUUUUUCCUGAAACUUCUUUAUUUUUUUUUUUUCUCCCUCAGACCACGGCUCACAUGCCUGCAAAGGAUUAUUAAAAUAAAACAUCAUAGAGCAUUUUUCCUCUUUUUUCCCCCCCUUCUUUACUGUUUAGAAUUACUUUUCUGGAGGAGCUUUCCAAGCAUCGCCCCCAACCCCGCAAGUCAUAAUUAAGAACACUUUUUAUUUCCCCCUAACAAACAGGAAAAAGACUCAAGCCCUUCUCCGAAUGCUCCUUUUUCUUUAAACACUAACAGCGUUUUCUAAAAUCGGAAACAUUUAUCUGUUCCCAGAGCACCUGAAAACAUUCUUGGCGCUGGACAGACGCUGUUCUCCUACAGCCGAACAAAUUAAAGCGGCGAAAUUUUGAUACCAGAAGCAUCUGUGAAAGCAUAAAAUAAACGCGAACCUAAAUUCUUACUGGGUUUAGGGAGGGAAAAAAAGUCAAAAAAGUCCCGAAACUGUUUACAAGGCACCGGGAUCUCUGCGUUCAAACACCCCAUACACAGGCAGAGUUUUCUUUUUAGGAUUAAAAGAUGAUGAUCCAAUGGGCUGAGGAUGUAAAACUCCUUCGGGGAACGCGAUAAACUGCAAAAAGCCAGUGGCAACUCAUUCCCGAUUAACUCCUUUUUAUAAAGGGGCGGAAUGGAAGCGAACAGGGACCCGACGGGACACGAACAUAUUUUAUUCAUUUAAUACAAAGCAGCUCCU